GGGCGGGAGGCGGGUGUGGUAGGAGGACCCGCAGCUUCCGUGCCUGAGAGGAGCCGGCCGAGGCCGUGUCUGUGGUGUCCCCGCGGCGGCAGCGGUGAGCGCGACCGUCCCAUCCUUCCCACCCGCUCAGCUCCGCUCGCUGCACGCCCUCCGCUCGCGCCGACUUAUCCAUAGCUCCGCGCGUCCCGGCUGGACGCUGAGCCUCGGGAGGAGACACGCGCGGUUGAGAGCCGGAGCGGGGACCGCCGCGGAGCCCGGGCCGGGAGGAGAGCUAGGCGUGAUCGAAGGGGUAUGAUUGGCAUGGAAUUGAAUUUCAUCUGUCUGUGGGAGUUGUAAACAAGGUUGCCAUCACGAAAGCCAAGGUGGAUUUCU